CUACUUGUCCCAAGAAAGCAUCCAUUAAAUUCGCAUAUGGAGGUUUCGAAAAAAACUUCAGAAGUUACUUAGGGAGAUCUAAUACACUAAUCGUAGAUUAGAUUCAAUGCAAAAUUUCACAGAUGUAUUCAUGGAGAGCCAAGGGAAAAAUCUUAUUUAGUGACCAACGAGGUCAGUUGAUGAGGAUAUGGAGGAGGAAGCCGAAAAAGAGGGGAACGAAGAGGAAGAAGGUAAUGACACCAAGAUAAGGGAAGAUGAUGACAUGGCACCAUACUGUGAUGAAUUCAAGGAUUUAUUUACGUUUGAGUAACCAUCCAUGGGAGGCCCCGACAUUAAGGAAUCGACCAACCAACUCGAAGACCUUACCAGAAGUCGAUCGUGCAAGGCAAAGGGAAAGGAAUCGCAGGACCGAGUGAGGGUCCAUGUGGACAACUCGGAAUAGUUACAUGUCUUUGCAUUUUAUUUAUUUUUAAUGUGGCAUGUAAACUAUUGAUUACUUUUGAAUUUUUCAUUUUUAUCUUGUGUUUGUUAUUGUUUGGUGUAUUUGUGUUGUUUUUCUUUGUUUGUUUUUCUUAUGUGCAGUGAGUAACGUGACAUUGGGGACAAUGUGUAGUUUAAGUGUGGGGGAGUGGGGUGCACAUAAGUUUUUAUGGUGUUUAUGUUUUCUUUUUUUUAUGUUUAUUUAUGUGUUUAUUUUAGUUUUUAUGCAUUUUCAAAAAAAAUUCAAAAAUCAAAAAAUAUUUUCUGUUUUUUGUUUUUAAAUUUUCCAAAAUUCCAAAAAAUAUUUCUUAUUUUUAUUUUAUUUUUAU
rnacentral:lncRNA from 1 species